rnacentral:rRNA from 1 species
GACAGCAGUAGCCGCGGUAAUACGGAGGGUGCAAGCGUUAAUCGGAAUUACUGGGCGUAAAGCGCACGCAGGCGGUCUGACAAGUCAGAUGUGAAAUCCCCGGGCUUAACCUGGGAACUGCAUUUGAAACUGUCAGGCUGGAGUCUUGUAGAGGGGGGUGGAAUUCCAGGUGUAGCGGUGAAAUGCGUAGAGAUCUGGAGGAAUACCGGUGGCGAAGGCGGCCCCCUGGACAAAGACUGACGCUCAGGUGCGAAAGCGUGGGGAGCAAACAGGAUUAGAUACCCGUGUAGUCCCUGUCUCUUAUAA